UAAAAACUGAGCAGUUAAAUGUACAAUAUGUGACUUUCUGCCGCUAGGGGUCUCUCAACCAAAACAAUGGAUGGUAAACACAGACUUGUGAUGAUGGUGGGAAGUUGCGUGGAAUUAUGAGAGUUGUAGUUUUUAGUGUUAAACACGUUCGCUGGUUAGAAUGCAUCUGUUCACGGACCAGUUUACCCAUUCAAGUUUAUUCACGUUAUGUUUAGUAAUGUUUAUUCAUGUUAUUCUAAUAAAAUAGCUGCAGCGUCCCCAACAUGAU